CGUGUAGGCGGUUCGGUAAGUCCGCUGUAAAGUCCAGGGCUCAACCCUGGAAAGCCGGUGGAAACUGUCAAACUAGAGUCCGGAAGAGGCGAGUGGAAUUCCUGGUGUAGCGGUGAAAUGCGCAGAUAUCAGGAGGAACACCAAUGGCGAAGGCAGCUCGCUGGGACGAUACUGACGCUGAGACGCGAAAGCGUGGGGAGCAAACAGGAUUAGAUACCCUGGUAGUCCACGCUGUAAACGAUGGGCACUAGGUGUGGGGGGUGUCGACUCCCUCCGUGCCGACGCUAACGCAUUAAGUGCCCCGCCUGGGGAGUACGGCCGCAAGGCUAAA
rnacentral:rRNA from 1 species